GAUGAACGCUGGCGGCGUGCCUAAUACAUGCAAGUCGAGCGAAUGGAUUAAGGGCUUGCUCUUAUGAAGUUAGCGGCGGACGGGUGAGUAACACGUGGGUAACCUGCCCAUAAGACUGGGAUAACUCCGGGAAACCGGGGCUAAUACCGGAUAAUAUUUUGAACUGCAUGGUUCAAAAUUGAAAGGCGGCUUCGGCUGUCACUUAUGGAUGGAACCGCGUCGCAUUAGCUAGUUGGUGAGGUAACGGCUCACCAAGGCAACGAUGCGUAGCCGACCUGAGAGGGUGAUCGGCCACACUGGGACUGAGACACGGCCCAGACUCCUACGGGAGGCAGCAGUAGGGAAUCUUCCGCAAUUGACGAAAGUCUGACGGAGCAACGCCGCGUGAGUGAUGAAGGCUUUCGGGUCGUAAAACUCUGUUGUUAGGGAAGAACAAGUGCUAGUUGAAUAAGCUGGCACCUUGACGGUACCUAACCAGAAAGCCACGGCUAACUACGUGCCAGCAGCCGCGGUAA
rnacentral:rRNA from 1 species